UUGAGAGUUUGAUCCUGGCUCAGAACGAACGCUGGCGGCAGGCCUAACACAUGCAAGUCGAGCGAGCUCUUCGGAGCUAGCGGCGGACGGGUUAGUAACGCGUGGGAACGUGCCCUUCACUGCGGAAUAGCCACUGGAAACGGUGAGUAAUACCGCAUACGCCCUUCGGGGGAAAGAUUUAUCGGUGAAGGAUCGGCCCGCGUUAGAUUAGAUAUUUGGUGGGGUAAUGGCCUACCAAG
rnacentral:rRNA from 1 species